GGGUAUGAUCAAAUUAGAAAUAAUGCACUAAAUCUUAUUUAGACCUUCGUAGUUAAGCAUGUUUGGUAGAGAGUAUAAUAUUAAGUUGGGUGACCACUUGAAAAGUUUUCGUAUUGCACUCU
rnacentral:rRNA from 1 species